rnacentral:SRP_RNA from 1 species
GCUGGGAAUGAUGGUGCAAGCCUAUAAUUGCUGCUAUCCUGGCAGCUAAGGCUGGUGGAUUGCUUGAGCUGGGAAGUGCUGAGCUGUUAAAGCCAAUGUUUUAGCACUAAUCCAACACCAAUAUAGUAACCCUUGGGAGCAAAGGGCUAUUAGGUUUCCUAAGGAGUAGUAAACCAGCUCAGGUUGGAAGAAGAGCAGGUCAAAGCUCCUUUGCUGAUGAGAGUAGGAUGGGGCCCAUAAGUGGCCCCUUCGCUUCCAACCUGGGUAAGAUAGGGAGACCCAGUUUUU